rnacentral:rRNA from 1 species
CCUACGGGAGGCUGCAGUGGGGGAUAUUGCACAAUGGGGGGAACCCUGAUGCCGCGACGCCGCGUGGGUGAAGAAGCGCCUCGGCGCGUAAAGCCCUGUCAGCAGGGAAGAAAAUGACGGUACCUGAAGAAGAAGCCCCGGCUAACUACGUGCCAGCAGCCGCGGGAAUACGUAGGGGGCAAGCGUUAUCCGGAUUUACUGGGUGUAAAGGGGGCGCAGACGGCGAUGCAAGCCAGGAGUGAAAGCCCGGGGCCCAACCCCGGGACUGCUCUUGGAACUGCGUGGCUGGAGUGCAGGAGGGGCAGGCGGAAUUCCUGGUGUAGCGGUGAAAUGCGUAGAUAUCAGGAGGAACACCGGUGGCGAAGGCGGCCUGCUGGACUGCAACUGACGUUGAGGCCCGAAAGCGUGGGGAGCAAACAGGAUUAGAUACCCGGGUAGUC